UUCACUAGUGAUUUUCCGGUUGAUCCUGCCAGAGACAUUGCUAUCGGUGUCCGAUUUAGCCAUGCGCGUCGCACGUAUAUACGUGGCAAACGGCUCAGUAACACGUGGCCAAACUACCCUACGGACCUGGAUAAUCUCGGGAAACUGAGGCUAAUCCAGGAUACCGAUUCCGAGCUGGAAUGCUGGGAUCGAGAAACGCUCCGGCGCCGUAGGAUGUGGCUGCGGCCGAUUAGGUUGAUGGUGGGGUAAUGGCCCACCAUGCCGAUAAUCGGUACGGGUUGUGAGAGCAAGAGCCCGGAGACGGACUCUGAGACAAGAGUCCGGGCCCUACGGGGCGCAGCAGGCGCGAAACCUUUACACUGCACGCCAGUGCGAUAAGGGGACACCGAGUGCGAGGGCAUAGAGCCCUCGCUUUUCUGGACCGUAAGGUGGUCCAGGAACAAGGGCUGGGCAAGACCGGUGCCAGCCGCCGCGGUAACACCGGCAGCCCAAGUGAUGGCCGCUAUUAUUGGGCCUAAAGCGUCCGUAGCCGGCCGAACAGGUCCGUCGGGAAAUCUGCUCGCUCAACGAGCAGGCGUCCGGCGGAAACCAGUCGGCUUGGGACCGGAAGACUCGAGGGGUACGUCUGGGGUAGGAGUGAAAUCCUGUAAUCCUGGACGGACCGCCGGUGGCGAAAGCGCCUCGAGAGGACGGAUCCGACGGUGAGGGACGAAAGCUAGGGUCACGAACCGGAUUAGAUACCCGGGUAGUCCCAGCCGUAAACGAUGUUCACUAGGUGUGUCACUCGCUACGCGCGAGUGAUGUGCCGCAGGGAAGCCGCUAAGUGAACCGCCUGGGAAGUACGUCCGCAAGGAUGAAACUUAAAGGAAUUGGCGGGGGAGCACUACAACCGGAGGAGCCUGCGGUUUAAUUGGAUUCAACGCCGGG
rnacentral:rRNA from 1 species